rnacentral:rRNA from 1 species
UACGUAGGGGGCAAGCGUUGUCCGGAGUUACUGGGCGUAAAGCGCACGCAGGCGGUCUUUUAAGUUUGGAGUGACAGUUGGUGGCUUAACUGCCAAAGUGCUUCGAAAACUGAGAGACUUGAGGGCUUCAGAGGGACACGGAAUUCCGGGUGGAGUGGUGAAAUGCGUAGAGAUGUGGAGGAACACCAGUGGCGAAGGCGGCUUUCUGGUCUGUAACUGACGCUGAGGCGCGAAAGCGUGGGGAGCAAACAGG